GCAGGGGUGGCAGAGCGGUCAAAUGCGCCAGCUUGAGGGGCUGGUGGGUUAGUCCCUUCGAGAGUUCGAAUCUCUUCCCCUGCA
rfam:Nitrospira bacterium SG8_3 WOR_8-12_28610, whole genome shotgun sequence.